UACAGAGGUCCCAAGCGUUGUUCGGAUUUAUUGGGCGUAAAGAGCGUGUAGGCGGCCAAGUAGGUCUGCUGUGAAAACUCGAGGCUUAACCUCGAGCUGUCGGCGGAAACCAUCUGGCUAGAGUCCGGAAGAGGAGAAUGGAAUUCCCGGUGUAGCGGUGAAAUGCGCAGAUAUCGGGAAGAACACCCGUGGCGAAGGCG
rnacentral:rRNA from 1 species